rnacentral:rRNA from 1 species
UCGGAUUAGCUGGUUGGUGAGGUAAAGGCUCACCAAGGCGACGAUCCGUAGCUGGUCUGAGAGGAUGAUCAGCCACAUCGGGACUGAGACACGGCCCGAACUCNUACGGGAGGCAGCAGUGGGGAAUAUUGGACAAUGGGGGGAACCCUGAUCCAGCCAUGCCGCGUGUGUGAAGAAGGCCCUCGGGUUGUAAAGCACUUNCCAGUGAGGAAGAACGCCUGGUGGUUAAUACCCAUCAGGAAAGACAUCACUCACAGAAGAAGCACCGGCUAACUCCGUGCCAGCAGCCGCGGUAAUACGGAGGGUGCAAGCGUUAAUCGGAAUUACUGGGCGUAAAGCGCGCGUAGGUGGCUUGAUAAGCCGGUUGUGAAAGCCCCGGGCUCAACCUGGGAACGGCAUCCGGAACUGUCAAGCUAGAGUGCAGGAGAGGAAGGUAGAAUUCCCGGUGUAGCGGUGAAAUGCGUAGAGAUCGGGAGGAAUACCAGUGGCGAAGGCGGCCUUCUGGACUGACACUGACACUGAGGUGCGAAAGCGUGGGUAGCAAACAGGAUUAGAUACCCUGGUAGUCCACGCCGUAAACGAUGUCGACCAGCCGUUGGGUGCCUAGCGCACUUUGUGGCGAAGUUAACGCGAUAAGUCGACCGCCUGGGGAGUACGGCCGCAAGGUUAAAACUCAAAUGAAUUGACGGGGGCCCGCACAAGCGGUGGAGCAUGUGGUUUAAUUCGAUGCAACGCGAAGAACCUUACCUACUCUUGACAUCCUGCGAAUUUGGUAGAGAUACCUUAGUGCCUUCGGGAACGCAGAGACAGGUGCUGCAUGGCUGUCGUCAGCUCGUGUUGUGAAAUGUUGGGUUAAGUCCCGUAACGAGCGCAACCCUUGUCCUUAUUUGCCAGCGCGUAAUGGCGGGAACUCUAAGGAGACUGCCGGUGACAAACCGGAGGAAGGUGGGGACGACGUCAAGUCAUCAUGGCCCUUACGAGUAGGGCUACACACGUGCUACAAUGGUCGGUACAAAGGGUUGCCAACUCGCGAGAGUGAGCCAAUCCCGAAAAGCCGAUCUCAGUCCGGAUCGGAGUCUGCAACUCGACUCCGUGAAGUCGGAAUCG